rnacentral:rRNA from 1 species
UACGUAGGGUGCAAGCGUUGUCCGGAAUUAUUGGGCGUAAAGAGCUCGUAGGCGGUUCGUCGCGUCGGCUGUGAAAUCCCGAGGCUCAACCUCGGGUCUGCAGUCGAUACGGGCAGACUAGAGUGCGGUAGGGGAGACUGGAAUUCCUGGUGUAGCGGUGAAAUGCGCAGAUAUCAGGAGGAACACCGGUGGCGAAGGCGGGUCUCUGGGCCGUAACUGACGCUGAGGAGCGAAAGCAUGGGGAGCGAACAGG